rnacentral:rRNA from 1 species
UUAAGCGACUAAGCGUACACGGUGGAUGCCCUGGCAGUCAGAGGCGAUGAAGGACGUGCUAAUCUGCGAAAAGCGUCGGUAAGGUGAUAUGAACCGUUACAGCCGGCGAUGUCCGAAUGGGGAAACCCAGUGUGAUUCGUCACACUAUCGUUAACUGAAUACAUAGGUUAACGAGGCGAACCGGGGGAACUGAAACAUCUAAGUACCCCGAGGAAAAGAAAUCAACCGAGAUUCCCCCAGUAGCGGCGAGCGAACGGGGAGCAGCCCAGAGUCUGAAUCAGCUUGUGUGUUAGUGGAACGGUCUGGAAAGUCCGACGGUACAGGGUGAUAGUCCCGUACACCAAAAUGCACAGGUUGUGAACUCGAAGAGUAGGGCGGGACACGUGGUAUCCUGUCUGAAUAUGGGGGGACCAUCCUCCAAGGCUAAAUACUCCUGACUGACCGAUAGUGAACCAGUACCGUGAGGGAAAGGCGAAAAGAACCCCGGCGAGGGGAGUGAAAAAGAACCUGAAACCGUGUACGUACAAGCAGUGGGAGCACCUUCGGGUGUGACUGCGUACCUUUUGUAUAAUGGGUCAGCGACUUAUAUUCUGUAGCAAGGUUAACCGUAUAGGGGAGCCGCAGGGAAACCGAGUCUUAACUGGGCGUUAAGUUGCAGGGUAUAGACCCGAAACCCGGUGAUCUAGCCAUGGGCAGGUUGAAGGUUGGGUAACACUAACUGGAGGACCGAACCGACUAAUGUUGAAAAAUUAGCGGAUGACUUGUGGCUGGGGGUGAAAGGCCAAUCAAACCGGGAGAUAGCUGGUUCUCCCCGAAAGCUAUUUAGGUAGCGCCUCGUGAAUUCAUCUUCGGGGGUAGAGCACUGUUUCGGCUAGGGGGUCAUCCCGACUUACCAACCCGAUGCAAACUGCGAAUACCGAAGAAUGUUAUCACGGGAGACACACGGCGGGUGCUAACGUCCGUCGUGAAGAGGGAAACAACCCAGACCGCCAGCUAAGGUCCCAAAGUCAUGGUUAAGUGGGAAACGAUGUGGGAAGGCACAGACAGCCAGGAUGUUGGCUUAGAAGCAGCCAUCAUUUAAAGAAAGCGUAAUAGCUCACUGGUCGAGUCGGCCUGCGCGGAAGAUGUAACGGGGCUAAACCAUGCACCGAAGCUGCGGCAGCGACACUAUGUGUUGUUGGGUAGGGGAGCGUUCUGUAAGCCUGCGAAGGUGUGCUGUGAGGCAUGCUGGAGGUAUCAGAAGUGCGAAUGCUGACAUAAGUAACGAUAAAGCGGGUGAAAAGCCCGCUCGCCGGAAGACCAAGGGUUCCUGUCCAACGUUAAUCGGGGCAGGGUGAGUCGACCCCUAAGGCGAGGCCGAAAGGCGUAGUCGAUGGGAAACAGGUUAAUAUUCCUGUACUUGGUGUUACUGCGAAGGGGGGACGGAGAAGGCUAUGUUAGCCGGGCGACGGUUGUCCCGGUUUAAGCAUGUAGGCUGGUUGUCCAGGCAAAUCCGGAUAAUCAAGGCUGAGGUGUGAUGACGAGGCACUACGGUGCUGAAGUAACAAAUGCCCUGCUUCCAGGAAAAGCCUCUAAGCAUCAGGUAACAUUAAAUCGUACCCCAAACCGACACAGGUGGUCAGGUAGAGAAUACCAAGGCGCUUGAGAGAACUCGGGUGAAGGAACUAGGCAAAAUGGUGCCGUAACUUCGGGAGAAGGCACGCUGGUGUGUAGGUGAAGUCCCUGCGGAUGGAGCUGAGACCAGUCGAAGAUACCAGCUGGCUGCAACUGUUUAUUAAAAACACAGCACUGUGCAAACACGAAAGUGGACGUAUACGGUGUGACGCCUGCCCGGUGCCGGAAGGUUAAUUGAUGGGGUUAUCCGUAAGGAGAAGCUCUUGAUCGAAGCCCCGGUAAACGGCGGCCGUAACUAUAACGGUCCUAAGGUAGCGAAAUUCCUUGUCGGGUAAGUUCCGACCUGCACGAAUGGCGUAAUGAUGGCCAGGCUGUCUCCACCCGAGACUCAGUGAAAUUGAACUCGCUGUGAAGAUGCAGUGUACCCGCGGCAAGACGGAAAGACCCCGUGAACCUUUACUAUAGCUUGACACUGAACAUUGAGCCUUGAUGUGUAGGAUAGGUGGGAGGCUUUGAAGCGUGGACGCCAGUCUGCGUGGAGCCAACCUUGAAAUACCACCCUUUAAUGUUUGAUGUUCUAACGUUGGCCCCUUACCGGGGUUGCGGACAGUGUCUGGUGGGUAGUUUGACUGGGGCGGUCUCCUCCCAAAGCGUAACGGAGGAGCACGAAGGUUAGCUAAUCCUGGUCGGACAUCAGGAGGUUAGUGCAAUGGCAUAAGCUAGCUUGACUGCGAGCGUGACGGCGCGAGCAGGUGCGAAAGCAGGUCAUAGUGAUCCGGUGGUUCUGAAUGGAAGGGCCAUCGCUCAACGGAUAAAAGGUACUCCGGGGAUAACAGGCUGAUACCGCCCAAGAGUUCAUAUCGACGGCGGUGUUUGGCACCUCGAUGUCGGCUCAUCACAUCCUGGGGCUGAAGUAGGUCCCAAGGGUAUGGCUGUUCGCCAUUUAAAGUGGUACGCGAGCUGGGUUUAGAACGUCGUGAGACAGUUCGGUCCCUAUCUGCCGUGGGCGCUGGAGAAUUGAGGGGGGCUGCUCCUAGUACGAGAGGACCGGAGUGGACGCAUCACUGGUGUUCGGGUUGUCAUGCCAAUGGCACUGCCCGGUAGCUAAAUGCGGAAGAGAUAAGUGCUGAAAGCAUCUAAGCACGAAACUUGCCCCGAGAUGAGUUCUCCCUGAGACUUUAAGUCUCCUGAAGGAACGUUAAAGACGAUGACGUUGAUAGGCCGGGUGUGUAAGCGCAGCGAUGCGUUGAGCUAACCGGUACUAAUGAACCGUGAGGCUUAACCUU